GACGAACGCUGGCGGCGUGCUUAACACAUGCAAGUCGAACGGAAAGGCCCUGCUUUUGUGGGGUGCUCGAGUGGCGAACGGGUGAGUAACACAUGAGUAACCUGCCCUUGACUUUGGGAUAACUUCAGGAAACUGGGGCUAAUACCGGAUAGGAGCUCAUGCUGCAUGGUGGGGGUUGGAAAGUUUCGGCGGUUGGGGAUGGACUCGCGGCUUAUCAGCUUGUUGGUGGGGUAGUGGCUUACCAAGGCUUUGACGGGUAGCCGGCCUGAGAGGGUGACCGGCCACAUUGGGACUGAGAUACGGCCCAGACUCCUACGGGAGGCAGCAGUGGGGAAUAUUGCACAAUGGGCGGAAGCCUGAUGCAGCAACGCCGCGUGCGGGAUGACGGCCUUCGGGUUGUAAACCGCUUUCGCCUGUGACGAAGCGUGAGUGACGGUAAUGGGUAAAGAAGCACCGGCUAACUACGUG
rnacentral:rRNA from 1 species